CCUUCCGCCGACUAUAAAGCACCCUUUGCAAGUCGGCGAAGCGAGAUCGCGAGAUUUUUAACCCAACCCUCGUAUCUUCCCUCCCUUCUAUCCUCCCUACGUGAUUUAUUCCAACUUAUUUCCAAGACGCAAACGUUUCUGCCCUGUGUAGCACGAACAAUUGCGAUUCCACGUAGGCAACUGUGACCGGUGACUUGGAUUGUCCAGAAUGUUCUAUUCAAAUAUAUAUAUAUAUAUGAAUAUCUAGAGAAAUAUUCGUGGGUAUUUUUGAAAUUUAUCUUUAUGCACGAAUGAUUGGAAAUGGAUUUUUUAGAGAAUUAAAAUAAAAAUAAUUUGUAAACUGACAGUUUUUAAGAAAAGUGAUUCAUAUUUAAAAAAACUAUCAUUCUAUUUAAAAAAAAGACAAAGAUAUCAUCUAUUCUUUUUUAAAUAAACUGUAUCUUCAAAUAAUUGUAGUAUCAUCAAUAAUUUAGAUACUUGGAUGAGUCGAUUUAAAUGAAACAUCUUAUAUAAAUACACAGUGGAGUCUUAUAAUUCCUGAACAAAUUCAAGGCGAAGGUUUUGAAGAGAAGAAGGCAAAUAUGGUACGGGAUGAAAAAGAUAAAUAAAAUUUCGCGUUUCUUCCUUCUUCCUUUUCGCGGGGUGAUGCGAACGAGAAGAGGCAAACACAAAAGCAAAGGAAUGAAACGGAAUAAAAAUAGAUGUGGAAAAGCCGCGAAAAUAAAUGGGGUGCGGUUUCUGCGGCUGGCGAACAAGUUCAGGGAAUUUUCAUUAAAAUACUACCGUAACGAGAAGGUGCAUAAAUAGGCCUUGAGAAAGCGUAGACAGACCCUCUGCAUCUUCCACGGAGGAACAUUCAUCCUAAAUCCCGACGACUCGUAAAUAUUUGCCGUUACAUUAGCGUAGGCAAAGAUAAAUCCCAUAUCAACUGUAAUUAUACCUAUUUGUCGGCGCGAUCCGAGAGUGAACUCGAGCGGAAAAAUGGCGGGAAACCCAGGCUCCAUCUCGUUGAAGUGAUAAUUUUUAAAAUCGCCUGAUAAAAAAAAAUGUGUUUGUCAAAUGAUGUUGAAGUAUUUUUCUGUUCGAAUAUAAAUUGUUAAAGCGUUUAAAAAAUCUGUUAAUCCUUAACAAUUCCACUCGAUAUCGUUUAUUUAUAGUUCGAAAAAUAGCGUGUACUUUAUAAAACUUUUGUGACAAAUAGAUACAGAUUUUUAUUCUAACAUUAUAUCCGAGUUUUAUACGUACAACGAAAGAUUUAGAGUGACAGCCAUGCAUAAACGUCACGAAGAAACUUUGAAUAAAUUCAGUUCAGUUUAUCUAA